AGCAGAGAUGCUUUAGUGCCUUCGGGAACGUCUGAGACAGGUGCUGCAUGGCUGUCGUCAGCUCGUGUUGUGAAAUGUUGGGUUAAGUCCCGNAACGAGCGCAACCCUUAUCCUUUGUUGCCAGCACGUAAUGGUGGGAACUCAAAGGAGACUGCCGGUGAUAAACCGGAGGAAGGUGGGGAUGACGUCAAGUCAUCAUGGCCCUUACGAGUAGGGCUACACACGUGCUACAAUGGCGCAUACAAAGAGAAGCGACCUCGCGAGAGCAAGCGGACCUCAUAAAGUGCGUCGUAGUCCGGAUUGGAGUCUGCAACUCGACUCCAUGAAGUCGGAAUCGCUAGUAAUCGUAAAUCAGAAUGUUACGGUGAAUACGUUCCCGGGCCUUGUACACACCGCCCGUCACACCAUGGGAGUGGGUUGCAAAAGAAGUAGAUAGCUUAACCUUCGGGAGGGCGUUUACCACUUUGUGAUUCAUGACUGGGGUGAAGUCGUAACAAGGUAGGCGUAGUGCU
rnacentral:rRNA from 1 species